ACUGAGGGUAGCGGAGAAAUUCCAAUCGAACCUGGAGAUAGCUGGUUCUCUCCGAAAUAGCUUUAGGGCUAGCCUCAAGUGAUGAUUAUUGGAGGUAGAGCACUGUUUGGACGAGGGGCCCCUCUCGGGUUACCGAAUUCAGACAAACUCCGAAUGCCAAUUAAUUUAACUUGGGAGUCAGAACAUGGGUGAUAAGGUCCGUGUUCGAAAGGGAAACAGCCCAGACCACCAGCUAAGGUCCCAAAAUAUAUGUUAAGUGGAAAAGGAUGUGGCGUUGCCCAGACAACUAGGAUGUUGGCUUAGAAGCAGCCAUCAUUUAAAGAGUGCGUAAUAGCUCACUAGUCGAGUGACACUGCGCCGAAAAUGUACCGGGGCUAAACAUAUUACCGAAGCUGUGGAUUGUCCUUUGGACAAUGGUAGGAGAGCGUUCUAAGGGCGUUGAAGCAUGAUCGUAAGGACAUGUGGAGCGCUUAGAAGUGAGAAUGCCGGUGUGAGUAGCGAAAGACGGGUGAGAAUCCCGUCCACCGAUUGACUAAGGUUUCCAGAGGAAGGCUCGUCCGCUCUGGGUUAGUCGGGUCCUAAGCUGAGGCCGACAGGCGUAGGCGAUGGAUAACAGGUUGAUAUUCCUGUACCACCUAUAAUCGUUUUAAUCGAUGGGGGGACGCAGUAGGAUAGGCGAAGCGUGCGAUUGGAUUGCACGUCUAAGCAGUAAGGCUGAGUAUUAGGCAAAUCCGGUACUCAUUAAGGCUGAGCUGUGAUGGGGAGAAGACAUUGUGUCUUCGAGUCGUUGAUUUCACACUGCCGAGAAAAGCCUCUAGAUAGAAAAUAGGUGCCCGUACCGCAAACCGACACAGGUAGUCAAGAUGAGAAUUCUAAGGUGAGCGAGCGAACUCUCGUUAAGGAACUCGGCAAAAUGACCCCGUAACUUCGGGAGAAGGGGUGCUCUUUAGGGUUAACGCCCAGAAGAGCCGCAGUGAAUAGGCCCAAGCGACUGUUUAUCAAAAACACAGGUCUCUGCUAAACCGUAAGGUGAUGUAUAGGGGCUGACGCCUGCCCGGUGCUGGAAGGUUAAGAGGAGUGGUUAGCUUCUGCGAAGCUACGAAUCGAAGCCCCAGUAAACGGCGGCCGUAACUAUAACGGUCCUAAGGUAGCGAAAUUCCUUGUCGGGUAAGUUCCGACCCGCACGAAAGGCGUAACGAUUUGGGCACUGUCUCAACGAGAGACUCGGUGAAAUCAUAGUACCUGUGAAGAUGCAGGUUACCCGCGACAGGACGGAAAGACCCCGUGGAGCUUUACUGUAGCCUGAUAUUGAAAUUCGGCACAGCUUGUACAGGAUAGGUAGGAGCCUUUGAAACGUGAGCGCUAGCUUACGUGGAGGCGCUGGUGGGAUACUACCCUAGCUGUGUUGGCUUUCUAACCCGCACCACUUAUCGUGGUGGGAGACAGUGUCAGGCGGGCAGUUUGACUGGGGCGGUCGCCUCCUAAAAGGUAACGGAGGCGCUCAAAGGUUCCCUCAGAAUGGUUGGAAAUCAUUCAUAGAGUGUAAAGGCAUAAGGGAGCUUGACUGCGAGACCUACAAGUCGAGCAGGGUCGAAAGACGGACUUAGUGAUCCGGUGGUUCCGCAUGGAAGGGCCAUCGCUCAACGGAUAAAAGCUACCCCGGGGAUAACAGGCUUAUCUCCCCCAAGAGUUCACAUCGACGGGGAGGUUUGGCACCUCGAUGUCGGCUCAUCGCAUCCUGGGGCUGUAGUCGGUCCCAAGGGUUGGGCUGUUCGCCCAUUAAAGCGGUACGCGAGCUGGGUUCAGAACGUCGUGAGACAGUUCGGUCCCUAUCCGUCGUGGGCGUAGGAAAUUUGAGAGGAGCUGUCCUUAGUACGAGAGGACCGGGAUGGACAUACCUCUGGUGUACCAGUUGUCGUGCCAACGGCAUAGCUGGGUAGCUAUGUGUGGACGGGAUAAGUGCUGAAAGCAUCUAAGCAUGAAGCCCCCCUCAAGAUGAGAUUUCCCAACUUCGGUUAUAAGAUCCCUCAAAGAUGAUGAGGUUAAUAGGUUCGAGGUGGAAGCAUGGUGACAUGUGGAGCUGACGAAUACUAAUCGAUCGAAGACUUAAUCAA
rnacentral:rRNA from 1 species